UCAGAACGAACGCUGGCGGCGUGCCUAACACAUGCAAGUCGAACGGAGGCAGGGGGCUUGCUCCUUGCUUUAGUGGCGCACGGGUGAGUAACGCGUGGAUAAUCUGCCUGAUACUCUGGGAUAACAUCUCGAAAGGGGUGCUAAUACCGGAUAAGCCCACGGGCUCUUCGGAGCUUGCGGGAAAAGGAGGGGACCUUCGGGCCUUCCGAUAUCAGAUGAGUCCGCGUCCCAUUAGCUAGUUGGUAGGGUAAAGGCCUACCAAGGCGACGAUGGGUAGCUGGUCUGAGAGGAUGAUCAGCCACACUGGAACUGAGACACGGUCCAGACUCCUACGGGAGGCAGCAGUGGGGAAUUUUGCGCAAUGGGGGAAACCCUGACGCAGCAACGCCGCGUGAGUGAUGAAGGCCCUUGGGUCGUAAAGCUCUGUCAGAGGGAAAGAAAUGUGGGCGGCUAAUAUCUGUACCACUUGACGGUACCCUCAAAGGAAGCACCGGCUAACUCCGUGCCAGCAGCCGCGGUAA
rnacentral:rRNA from 1 species